CCUGGGGACACAGAGGUGGGCUGGGUGUGGGGCCGCUGCCCCUGCCCCAAGCCCCGCACACCCCACCCAAGUCCCGUCGGCGUGCGUGGUGCCAGAGGCCUCUGGAGGGCUCAGGCCUGCUCUCCACGAACACCACGUCCACACAAUGCCUCGCCUGAAGUCCCUCUGAGGACAGACGCCUCUCUCAGCAGCCCUGGGUGGGGCUGGCCCCAGAGGCCGUAGCGACCAAGGGGAGCUCCCAAGGCUAGAGACGUGUCACCGCCCAGGGAGGGGUGGGUCUCCACUCAGGACAGCGCGGGUAAGGCCCCCUGAGACCCUGCCUCAAGACUCGGGGACAACUGCCUUCCGUCCACUCCGUCCCUGCUCCAGCAGCACGCCUGAGGCGCGUGGAGGAGGCGCAGCAAAGGCUGGGGGACGGCACAGCCCUGGCAGCCAAGGUGGUCUCUUACCACCAGUCGGCUGACUGUAUUUAUUCACAGAGGAACACACUGGAAGGGCCCUCAAACCCGUUCCGGGCUGUUUCUGGAGCCAGGGAGGUCCUGCCAGGGACACAGAGAGGAAGAGCCACUCACCCGAGGGCCUGGAAGGCGGGGAUGGACCUGGCCCAGUGCAUGGAGAGGAAGAGCAGGCGUGAGGCCGACUCGCAGAUGUAGUGCACGUUGAGGUACUCGGGCAUCGGGCUGGGCAUCGUGAGCUGCAGGAGAGGGCACAUGGCCCGGGGCCUGUCAGCACCCAGCCCUGCACAGACCCUCUCGGGAGGCGGGCCCGCCCAGUGAGCUGGGGUCUGACGGGCCUGGAGUGGGGGGGACAGGGCCCAGCUCAUCCACAAGGACACAUUCCAUGACGCUGCCUCCCGGCACUGACACUGGUUCUCAGCAGUUCCACUCUGAGCUGCAGGUUCAAGUCUAAGUCCAGUGGGAACGGGCGGGCAGGGGCUGGCAGGCAGUGUCAGGGAACAGGGAGGUAGAGUGGAGCACAACCCAGGGGGCCGGGCUGGGCCCCAGGAGCCCCUCUGUCCCAGAAGGGCUUGAAUGCCUCUGCAGCUGGAGUCCCCCCAGGGACCCUUGCCCUUCAAUCCCUGGGCAAUGGCGGGCAAGGACUCACGAGUUUAUUCUAGCGAAGAAUACUGGAGAACUGAAGACUCACUCUGCAGACCUCGAGACUGGGGGCUCAGGGAGCCUGGGAGUAUCCUCAAGACAGAGGCAGACGGAAGCCCUCACCUUAAAUGUGACGUGAGUGUCUGAGAGGAGGGGGCCCUCGACCUCGAUGAUGGGCGUGGACUGGUCUCUGCUGAUGACAUGGAUGCCCCCGCCGCCGCUGCCGUCGAUCCCGUCCGCCAGGCUUGGGGGCGAGGUGCUGUCUGUGGUGUUAAGUGCCUUUGCUAAGGUAUCAAAUGCCCUGCGAGCAGAAAGGGAGCAAGCACGUGCUGUAAGUCCACUUCCAGGAGGGGCACUCUAGCUGAGACAUCCUUUAGGAAAACAGCCCAGCAGGAAGAGAGAGUUACCUCUGCCUGAGAGGAGGAGCAGUGGCCGCCACGGGUGUCUCCCCAGGGUCUCAGACACUAAGCUAGAUGUUAUUUCUUCUCACACAUAAUUUCUGUUUUUCAGAACUACUCUCCAAGGUGUAAUUCCCUCCAUCUCAGAGAUGUGAAAGCUAACUUUGCCAAGACUACCAGGAGUUAAGUGGUAGAACUAGAAUUCGGCCUAGCUCACAUUCUGCCCUCUUUCCACCGGAUCCAGACUGGCAUCUUCUACCAGACCACAAGGGAACCUGAGGACCGCUACCCCUGAGUGGCCCCCGCAUGGCCUGGCCUGACGGGCAGGAGUGGCAGGUCCAGCAGAAAAGGAGCAAACGCACCGGCCGGCUGCAGGGAGUGUACCCUGGCAGGGGGCACAGGUGUCCAGCCGCCUGGUGCCAUCUCACCGCAGUAUGUGUCCACCCUGAGGGCUCCAUCUCAGCUCUGGACUCACCGCUUGAGAAAAACAGGCUAAAGCACACGCGAGAAAGGCACUGCACUACUGACGUGUAGCCCAGCACACGGUGGCAGGCGUGCGUGGACUCAUGAGCGUCCCCUAAACUACUCAGUCUCCUUUACCAUGUGGAAUGAAGUUUUCAGACUGUUUUGUAUCACGUAACCUGAACAGGUCCACAUCCCCAUAGUUAAAAUGAAGAAGACAGACAUGCAGGGGCCCUGUGACAAUUCUGCAAUCCGUCAUUUAACACAGGGUAGGCAUCACAAUGCUGCCCCCACCCUCACAAAGCAGUGACUGUGUGUGUCGGGAGGGGCCUCCACUCUCAAGGGUUCGUACCGAGUGAUCUCACUUGCAGACUGGUCCUCCGGCUGUAUUUCUGAGGUGUCGCCAUUGUUAAGGGAUUCACUGAGGUUGGCGAGGGAAGUGACUACAUUUGCCAAUGUGCCCAGGGCUCCCUGGCUUGUUUCAGCCUGUUAACCAGAAAAUAGUGGUAUUAAAGAUGAACAUACACACGUGCCUCUCAGGAAAGUGAAGGUAUAGUUUUGUUUUAAAAGCAGCUUCACGGAGCUGUGACUACGAUGGGCAGUGAGAGGACGUGCCCUUGGUGACCAAGCACGUCUGCAUCUGGACUGGGACGGCAGCUACCAACCUACCCCAGAUGCUGCCAGAGCCGAGCGACAGGCAGACAGGCUGUGCCGCCAGAGCUUAGCCUUUGUGCUUCAAAAGGUUAUCAGUGAAGUAAAAAGACACCUCUCCUCCCAUACACAAAAGAAAACCCACAAAACGGGAGGAACGUUUUGCAAAU